rnacentral:rRNA from 1 species
GAUGAACGCUGGCGGCGUGCAUAACACAUUCAAGUCGAACGGAUGCGGUGACUUCGGUUGCCGCGUUAGUGGCGGACGGGCGAGUAACACGUGAGCAACCUACCCUUGACAGGGGAAUAACGAUGGGAAACUAUCGCUAAUACCUCAUAACAUAAAGCGGGGGCAUCUUCGCUUUAUCAAAGGAGAGAUCCGGUGAAGGAUGGGCUCGCGGCCGAUUAGGCAGUUGGCGUGGUAACGGCACACCAAACCGACGAUCGGUAACCGGACUGAGAGGUCGAACGGUCGCAUUGGAACUGAGAGACGGUCCAGACUCCUACGGGAGGCAGCAGUGGGGAAUAUUGGGCAAUGGGCGAAAGCCUGACCCAGCGACGCCGCGUGAAGGAAGAAGGUCUUCGGAUUGUAAACUUAUGUCAGCGGGGACGAACGUCCGGGGAGCACCCGGAUUUGACGGUACCCGCGGAGGAAGCCACGGCUAACUACGUGCCAGCAGCCGCGGUAAUACGUAGGUGGCAAGCGUUGUCCGGAAUUACUGGGUUUAAANGGUUUGUANGCGGCUAAGCAAGUCAGAAGUUAAAGGUGUGGGCUCAACCCGCACAUGCCUUUGAA